rnacentral:piRNA from 1 species
GGCAGACAGGUUUCUCUUAACUUCCUUUGGCA